rnacentral:rRNA from 1 species
GUACAUGACUACAACAUAGUGUUAAUGCACCAUAUCCCAUUAGAACUAUGUAUUUAAGCAUGCUCAGGAUAGAGUAGUACUAGAAUGGGUGACUUCCUAGGAAUUCCUAGUGUUUUAUAUG